rnacentral:misc_RNA from 1 species
AAAAAAAAAAAAGAAAAUAAAAGACUGUCAUAAAAUUUCCCUUAAAAAACUUUCCUAGAAAAAUUUUAUUUCCUAUAUUUAAGUAGGGUUAAGAGAGUCUUUUUCUUAAAGUAACUUUAAUGGCAAAAUAUUGUUUUUUUAGAUGGGCGACUAACUAGUUAAGCAAGUCAAAUGUUAGGGACCAAUUAAUUGGAUUUUCAAGUAGAGGGGACCUACUAGCGAUUAUGACCAUUGUUAUUAAGCUCGGAUUGGUGAUCCGGACCCCAAACCGGUUUAUAUUUGUAAUUUGAUCGAGCAAGUAAACUAGUUAAUCCGGAUUGUUGACCAAUGAACCGGUGUGACUUGGCUGGUCUGACUAGUCUUUAGCAGAAAACUUUUUCGAGUGCGGGCAGGGGAAUUGAACCCAAUACCUCAUAAAAGGUCUUUAAAGACAACCAAUUGAGCAUUAUUGGCAAAUUUAUAUUUUUUGUUUUAAUAUAUGUGUGUAUUCUUCUAUUUCAUAAUGAUAAUAUGUUUAGGUUUAUAACAUAUAAUUAAUGUUUCAUAAGAAUUAAAAAGAUAGCUACACAUUUAUAUGAAUUUUUUUACGUAUUACUCAUAAUAUUGGAA